UACGUAGGGUGCGAGCGUUGUCCGGAAUUACUGGGCGUAAAGAGCUCGUAGGUGGUUUGUCGCGUUGUUCGUGAAAUCCCGUGGCUUAACUGCGGGCGUGCGGGCGAUACGGGCAGACUGGAGUACUGCAGGGGAGACUGGAAUUCCUGGUGUAGCGGUGGAAUGCGCAGAUAUCAGGAGGAACACCGGUGGCGAAGGCGGGUCUCUGGGCAGUAACUGACGCUGAGGCACGAAAGCUGGGGGAGCGAACAGG
rnacentral:rRNA from 1 species